CCACUACGACAGGGGAGCCCCGACCGGGGCUGAGAGUGCACACCGGUGCAGACCCUCGAACCUGACGCGGUUCAUACCGCCGGAGGAAGUCGAGUUCUCGGACCC
rnacentral:ncRNA from 2 species